rnacentral:misc_RNA from 1 species
UAUAAAUGUGGAAAGGAAAGAAUUCUAUUUUUUUUAUUGAAAAGUUAGAAUACACUAGUCAGUAACAAUUAUGGAAAUAAUUCAUUCUGAAUCUCUCAUUAUUGAAUUAUAUAUAAUUAUCAUUAGAUUAUAUUAAUUACUGUAAAAUAAACUGAUUUUUUUAGUGGGAAAUAAUAAGCUGAUAUUAUUAAUAAGUUUUGGCUCGUUAAUGAUCAUUUAGUAAAUGGAGGAUAAUCCUCCGGUAACUAACUGCAAAGACAUACACAGGCACGAGGACCCAGACUCAAGGAUUCUGUCGACAUCGUCUCUCUCAAACCCUGCCACCUCACUAUCGUUGA